GACGAACGCUGGCGGCGUGCUUAACACAUGCAAGUCGAACGCUGAAGCUCAGCUUUUGUUGGGUGGAUGAGUGGCGAACGGGUGAGUAACACGUGAGUAACCUGCCCCCUUCUUUGGGAUAACGCCCGGAAACGGGUGCUAAUACUGGAUAUUCACUGGUCUUCGCAUGGGGGCUGGUGGAAAGGGUUUUUCUGGUGGGGGAUGGGCUCGCGGCCUAUCAGCUUGUUGGUGGGGUGAUGGCCUACCAAGGCUUUGACGGGUAGCCGGCCUGAGAGGGUGACCGGUCACAUUGGGACUGAGAUGCGGCCCAGACUACUACGGGAGGCAGCAGUGGGGAAUAUUGGACAAUGGGCGCAAGACUGAUGCAGCGACGCCGCGUGAGGGAUGGAGGCCUUCGGGUUGUGAACCUCUUUCGCUCAUGGUCAAGCCGCAACAAUGGUUGUGGUGAGGGUAGUGGGUAAAGAAGCGCCGGCUAACUACGUG
rnacentral:rRNA from 1 species